rnacentral:rRNA from 1 species
GGUUGACCUCGGAUCAGGUAGGGAUACCCGCUGAACUUAAGCAUAUCAAUAGGCGGAGG